UACGUAGGGGGCAAGCGUUGUCCGGAUUUAUUGGGCGUAAAGAGCGUGUAGGCGGCCAAACAGGUCAGCUGUGAAAACUCGAGGCUCAACCUCGAGACGUCGGUUGAAACCGUUUGGCUAGAGUCAGGAAGAGGAGAGUGGAAUUCCCGGUGUAGCGGUGAAAUGCGCAGAUAUCGGGAAGAACACCCGUGGCGAAGGCGGCUCUCUGGGACGGUACUGACGCUGAGACGCGAAAGCGUGGGGAGCGAACAGG
rnacentral:rRNA from 1 species